AUUGAACGCUGGCGGCAGGCCUAACACAUGCAAGUCGAACGAGUGGCGGACGGGUGAGUCAUGUCUUGGCAACUGCCUGAUGGAGGGGGAUAACUACUGGAAACGGUAGCUAAUAGCGCAUACCAUCAGAUGUGCCCAGGUGGGAUUAGCUAGUUGGUGGGGUAACGGCUAACAAAGGCGACGAUCCCUAGCUGGUCCGAGAGGAUGACCGGCCACACGGGGACUGAGACACGGUCCAGAGUCCUACGGGAGGCAGCAGUGGGGAAUAUUACACAAUGGACGAAAGCCUGAUGGAGCAAAGCCGCGUGAGUGAAGAAGGCUUUCGGGUAGUAAAGCUCUUUCGGCAGAGAAGCGUUACCGGAAGAGAAAGCACCGGCUAACUCCGUGCCAGCAGCCGCGGUAAUUC
rnacentral:rRNA from 1 species